AAGCAUCGCACACCCACCGCGUGGACGCGCAACGCGCGGACGGGCUGCUCCUUCGCUGGCAGGUUUUGCAGGCUGCUGAGACUCGAGCUUCCCCAAGUCCCUCCAGAGUUCUCCCACAGGCUACAAAAUCCUCCUCUCUUCCCUUCGCUCCAAGGGACACAGUUCCUGGAAACCAUGCGCCCGCUGGGGACGCGAUCCCUGGAGAAGGGAGUGCAUCUUCUCCAAGCGAGGGCCGCAACAGGUGCAAGCCAUGUGACUGGACAAUAGCCGGGCGGAGCUGAGGGCGCUUCGGGAUCACAGAAACCUUGUUCGGAGACCUGGUUCCACCACUAGCUGCGAAACUGCAAGUUCUCCAAGGGCAUUCCAGGGUCUGCGGCGCACGGAUGAUUACAGUUCCUGCCACUUAGGGAUCUUGGGGAAAAAAGUAAGCCCUCACGUAGCUCAGUGUGGCGCCGGCGCUCCGGGGGCGAUCCCUUGCCCCGGGUGGGGGACUGCAGGGCACAGAGGUUUGUGGUCGGGUCUCCACGCUCGCGCCGUGAGCCCCUGGCGAGUGGAAUUUGGCACCUUCUUUUUCUCCCUUAUGUCCCUGUUUCUUUCCCUUUCUCUUUUGAUCCGAGUCCCGAAACUGAGCGACGAGCGCUGGAGACCGCGGCGCGGAGCCUGCGUCGGGCGCAGCAGGGUUAGGGCUGAGCCAGGGCCGCGGCGGAGCCCCUGCGCCCCUCCGGCCGCCGUGAGGAUGCGGAGCGCGGGCGAGCUGGGACCCCCCAGCGCCGGGGCCGCUUUCUGCCAGCCGGGAGAGCGGGAUCGGCGAGGCGGCGCCCUUGAUCGGGAGUAACCCAGCGGUUGGCAGAAACCGGUCUGACCCCUGCCACAGGAGAAGAACCCACAGCAGCUCUGGGCCUCUUCCUCCCCAGUGUCCGCGCUGCAGCUUGAGAGACGAGUUUGAGGAACCCGGCCCGGCCCGGGGCGAGCUGGUCUUGUUCUGACCUUCCCUGGUCAUUUUGUUCCUCCAGCUGCCCUGCCCUAUGCUUUGUCCCUCCAGUGGGCUAUCAUUCAUUAACAGGAGGCAAGCUGGAUUUAAAAAAAAAAAAAAAAAAAAACCUCAGUGUUUCGUAUGGUAUGGGUAAUGUCAACGCAGUUACUUUACUCCCGUCACCCUCCCAGUGGCAAAGCGUACAGACGAGGCCAGGUGUUAUCUUCAUUUUGCAGAUGGGAAAACAGUCGUGGGGACCGGAUGUACGUUUGAAGGAAGUUUCACCACAACAGUCUUUCUCAUCUGCUCUUGGCCAAGUGGUCUCUAAAUAUGAGCCCUUCGCAACUUUGUCUCCAUGUCUCUAGAGGCUGAGGGGUUAACUUGUGAUCAAAACCCCUCCUUCUUUACCCCUGGGCAGUGGAGGCCUGCUACACGGGAGGCUGAGGCAGAAAAAUCAUUUGAACCCACAAGCUCCAGGCAGCCUGAGCAAUAUAACAACCAAUACACGAACUCAAAAACAAACAAACAAAUAAACCAAGCACUCUUCUUGUUCUGAUUUGUUCACAACUGUUGUUUUGAGAACAUUAAGUAAACAAUAUGGAGGGUGUGUCUUGGAUACCUUUGUCACAGAAGAACCACAAGGAAAUUUGAGGAGUGUCCUGUGUGGAGCAAUGUUCACCUGAGGAACCUGAGCGUGAAACUUCCUCUGUGUUGCAAUCAAAAUUGAAAGUCUCUCAGGCUACCUUGUUAAACAUCUCUCGUCAUGGUCUUUCAUCAACCCAGCUUCUAAAGACCCUACCUAUUUUACCAGAGUGAAUUCCGCUAUGGUAAGAGCCUACUUCCCACUGCAGAAGCUAAAAAGCAAACACUUGCCUUACCAGACUCCCUUGGAACUAGAGUUCUCAAUUUAAACUCAGUCAACAGACUGAACUGGAACCUAGUGAGGCUCCCACUAGUGAAUGCUCUGCCAGUGGUCAGCCAGCUCUGCUUCUCAGAGGCAGCAGUGGGCCGUCCACCAGACUAUUCUGCAGAGAAAUUUGGGGCAUUGCUGUCUCCCUCAGUGUAUCCUCCAGGCUUGAUUCUUCUACCCUGCAGAGAUUCCAGUCCUUACCCAAUAUCAUCUUAAUGAGUUCCUCUUUAGCAUAAAUCAUCCAGACACUACUUGUAUUACUUACAGCUAAGAAAAUGACUUCCUUAUCAGGUGUUUAUGGAACAGCUACUAGGGAGAAACACUGGGCUGAAUGUCUCGAGGAAUACUCUGAAGGUCAUCCUUGCUCUCCAGAUACAAUGUAAAAAGUUAAAAAUGCCAAAAGGGUGGCAUGUAAGAGUUCCCUGAGAUGUAGACCAAUGUUGUUCAAUAGAAAUAAUACAAACCACGUCUUCGCCAGCUCACGCUGCCAUGAUAAACUAUCAUAGACGAGGUGCCUUAAACAACAAAUUUAUUUUCUCAUAGUUUUGGAGGCUAGAAGUUCAACGUUAGGGUAUGAGCAUAGUUGGGUUCUGGUAAAGGGCCUCUUCCUGGCUUCUGUGUGGCUGACUUCUCACUGUAUCCUUACAUGGCAGGGAGAGAGAAAGUGCUGUUAUCACUUCCGAUAAUGGCAUUAAUCCUAUCAUGGGCCCCACCCUCAUGAUCUCAUCUAAUCCUGACUACCUUCCAAAGGCCCCAGCUCUUAAAACCACAGUGAAUCAAGGCUUCAACAUAUGAGUUUGGGGUGACACAGCUGAGUCCAUAGGACCACAUACAUAAUUUUAAGAUUUCGAGACAGCAGCAUUAUAAGAUUAAAAGAAACAAAUGAAAUUCUAAUAAUUCAUUUAAGCCAAUAUAUUCAAAAUAUUUCAAUGUAUUGCCAUUAUAAAAUUUACUAAUGAAAUCCAGUAUAUAUUUUAUACUUGCAGCACAUGUCAAUCUGAAUGCCACAUUUCAAGUACUCAGAAUCCCAUGUACCUAAUGGCCACCAUUUUGGACAACAUAGAUCUAGCGUGUUAAAAUUAAAUCAAGUGCAAGGUAUAGUGGCGGGCAUCUGUAAUCCCAGUACUUAUGAAACUGAGGCAGAAGGAUCACAAGUUCAAGGCCAGCCUGGGCUACAUAGCAAGAAACUCAGGAAAAAAAAAAUCAGUGUGAGAAAUCAUUUAGUAAACCAUCUCAAUUAACAGAUAAUGAAAUGAAGACCCAGCCAGAUGAACUGACUUGCCCAAGUUCACACAGUUGAUGAAAAAGCAGAGAUGGGACACAAAUUCAGGUUUCUGAUACCAAGAUCAGGUCUUUUGCCAUGGCCUCUCCCUGUUCAAAGACAGAAAGGAUAAUGGAGAGUUGGAAGGAUCAGGAUCAUAGAAGACCUGGAAUAAAGUUACAUUGUUUUAAUUACUUUCUCAUUGCUGGGACAAAAUACUUAACAUCUACAAGUAAAAGAAGGAGAGAUUUAUUUUGGCUCAUAGUUUGUAGAGGUUUCAGCCCAUGUUCCAAGGCAGGUUGGUUCCAAGGCAAGGUGGCCUAGUAGAGGGGCAUCACACAGGAGAAAUAGCUCAUAAUGGCAGGCAGGAAGCAGAGAGAAAUCGAAGGAGGCUGGAGGGAGACACACCUUUCCAGGCCACACCUCCAGGGACCUAUCUCCUCUCACCAGGUAUCACCUCCCAAAUCACAUUUAGCUAUAAACUUAUCGGUGGAUUGAUCCACUGACUAGUGUCAUGUCCCCAAGAUCCAAUCAGCUGCCCAAACCCCUACCUAUGAGCCCAUGAGGCUUUGGGUGAAAUCUAAAUAAACCGUAAAACCAUUCAUUCAAAGAGAGAAAGAGAGAAGAAAAACUAGCACAAACAUGACCCCAUCAAAUAGUAAACACUUGUCAUAUUCCCGACAUUGUGCUAGAUGCUAUAAGAAAAUAAGAAAUUAAAACUAUAACUGAAUGCCCACCUUAUUAAAAGUUCCAAGAAGAAAAAAUGCAUAAGAAAAUUGCACUGAUAGCAAACACUAUUGAGUGAAGGUGAGGCUUGAGAAAACCUUAAUGGAUGAAAAGGCCAUAUUCACAACUCUUUCCUGACACAGGGAUCUUCCCGGGUCAUACACUGCCUGCAAACUUUGAGAAGGAACUGCAAAGCUCCAUCAAGACAGCAGCAUCUCUCUGCUAAUUUGCCUCUUAGUUCUGAGUACCAAGUUGCCUGUCUCUCCCCUCCAUAAAUUAAAAGGCCAGAAGCUUCCAACUACUGACUGCUUCUAACAGCAGAAGUCUUGAAAACUAUAGCAGCAUUUCCCAUUGUAUGCCCUAGGAUGUCAAUAGAUGUGAUAUGGAAUAAAAGCAGGAAUAUCGAGUUAAACAAGCUCUUAUGGUUCGGGUCUAGAUGUUUCCUCCAAAGCCUCAUGAGGUCCUAGGUGGGGCUUUCUUUCAGAGGUGGCUGGAUGUAGAAUGUGUGACACUGGAAGUGAUUCAUGGUGCACUGCUAGGUUCAAGGGCACUGGGACUAAAGGUGUGAGUGCUACCACCCUAAGUAGUUUGGAUAAAAUAAAAGGGGCAGAAAGAGGCUGUUUUUGUCCCCUGUUGCUUUUGCUACCUUGUGCAUGCCGUGUUUUUUCUCCUCUGCAAUGCCUGUCUGCUAUCCACCCUGCCUUGGAGCCAGCUGAUUAUGAACUGAAACCCCUACCAAAUGUAAGGAAAAUAAACUUUUCCUCCUUUAACUUUGGAUAGCUGGUAUUUUGUCUCAGCUAUGAGAAAAGUGUCUAAGACACAAGCUAAGACUAGCUUUUUCACUCCAGAACUUCUCUGGCCUUUAGCAUGCUUUAACCUGUUUGUGGUUUCAGUUUCAAGAUCAACAACAUUGAUACAUUCCAUAACCCCCUGCAUGGAUGGCCCAGAAGGGUGGCAGCUCCUCAUCUUACACCACAUCCCUUCUUUCUCUGCUUCCUGCCACACCAGCCUUGCCACAGCUUCUCCGAGUCUACCCAGAUCUAUGCCAUCAGAUGCAGCUGCCUCAAGCUGUCUUGGCUUUUGUGCACUGGACAUGUGCUAGUCUAAAUUGAAAUGUUUUGUAAGUGUGAAAGACACACCUGAUUUUGAAGACUUAGAACAAAGAAAAUAUGAAACAUCACAAAAUCUUUAUAUUGAUUACAUGUUGAAAUUAUGUCAUGUAUUUUGAAUUAGGGAAAUAUAUUAUUAAAAUUAUUUUCACCUGUUUCUUUUUAUCUCUUAUAAUGUGGUUACUGGAGAAUUUAUUAUUAUUUAUGCAGGUCACACUGGGGCUUUUUCGUUUUUAUUUACUUAUUAGUACAUAUCUCUAAUACAUAAUGCUUACAUUCCUUGUGGGGAAUUGGU